rnacentral:rRNA from 1 species
UGGGGAAUAUUGCGCAAUGGGGGAAACCCUGACGCAGCGACGCCGUGUGAGGGAAGAAGGCUUUCGGGUCGUAAACCUCUGUCAGGAAGGAAGAACCUCUCAAGGCUGAACAAGCCUUGGGACUGACGGUACUUCCAGAGGAAGCACCGGCUAACUCCGUGCCAGCAGCCGCGGUAAUACGGAGGGUGCAAGCGUUAAUCGGAAUCACUGGGCGUAAAGCGCGCGUAGGCCGUCUUUUAAGUCGGACGUGAAAGCCCUCGGCUCAACCGGGGAACUGCGUUCGAUACUGGGAGACUUGAGUCCUGGAGAGGGUGGCGGAAUUCCGGGUGUAGGAGUGAAAUCCGUAGAUAUCCGGAGGAACACCGGUGGCGAAGGCGGCCACCUGGACAGGUACUGACGCUGGGGCGCGAAAG